GGUAGCAUGGGUCGGGGGUGUGCGGUAGUCGGUAGGGGUCGGGGGUUGGCGGGGAUGAUGGGGGGUAAAGAGCUUGUAGGGGGGUGGUAGCGUCUGCUGUGAAAAUGCGGGGCUCAACCCCGGACUUGCAGUGGGUACGGGCAGACUAGAGGGUGGUAGGGGAGACUGGAAUUCCUGGGGUAGCGGUGAAAUGCGCAGAUAUCAGGAGGAACACCGAUGGCGAAGGCAGGUCUCUGGGCCACUACUGACGCUGAGAAGCGAAAGCGUGGGGAGCGAACAGGAUUAGAUACCCGGGUAGUC
rnacentral:rRNA from 1 species